GUCCCUUCGGCGCAGGCUGGGGCUGAGGGGACGGGGCGGAAGUAAAGGCUUCAAUCAGCAGUGGUAUCCGUCAGACUAAGCCUCCACUGCACAUCAAUCGACUAGGGAGA
rnacentral:sRNA from 22 species